GGGCCGGGCGGCUGAGGCGGAUCCGCGCGCGGCGCUGAGCAGAGCCCGCCGUGCGCCACCAUGUUCCAGGGCCCCGAGGCCGAGGCGGCCAAGCCCAGCUCCAGGGUAUUGAAGCCCCCAGGAGGAGGUUCUAGUAAUCUCUUUGGGAGUACAGAAGAAGUUUCUUCUUCAAGCAAGCCACACCGGAUGGCAUCCAAUAUCUUUGGAGCAUCAGAAGAACCUCAGAACAUUCCCAAAAGAACAAACCCUCCAGGGGGAAAAGAAAGUGGCAUUUUUGAGGAUUCUAGUUCUGCUCAGCCCCGUCCACGCAUGAAUCCACCUGGUGGGAAGACAAGUGAUAUCUUUGGGUCUCCUGUAUCCACCAGCGUUGUGAGAGCACAUCCAAACAAGCCCAAGGAUCACAUUGUCUUGAAAGAAGAUGAAACACCAAAGAAGCUAGAAGCUACAGAGAAUCUCAAACCACAGCUGGAAGAUGGAGGCGAGAAGAAAGAUGUGGGCAAAGAGGAGCGAUGCAAGGAGCCAGAACCCAAGAUAGACAAUCACGAGCCCCGACUAGGGCCACGGCCACGCUCACACAACAAAGUUCUCAACCCUCCAGGGGGCAAAUCCAGUAUUGCUUUCUAUUAGGGUCAUCUGAUCACAGUCACUAACGGAGUCUGCACAGAAACUCUGGUCUGUGGUUGCCAGCACACUGACCCCUGUGGAUGCCACCCUUUCCUUUGCAUGACAAGCUGAGAGUAGAGAGACAUGCAGUUGCUUUGUAAAAAGUUUGUCAGAAGUGAGCUCCAUCAUCUCAGCAGCAGCUGUCAAGGGAGGACAGGCACAGUGAAAGUGGUUUUCCUGUCACCAGGGGAGGAACUCCUCAAAAAAGCAGUGAAACAGGAGUAACAGGAAGCUGUUGGUGCACCCUCAUGGGGCUGAGCAGGUACUGUUGCAGGAGGGCUCAUGCUCUGCCUCCUUACUGUUGUUACGUCAGUUUCAAGCGUUAUUUGAGUUGAAAGACAAGAGCAGUCUUCUAAGAACAACUCUGGGCUUCCAAGAGGCUCUGGUAGGAUGCCCAGCCUAAAGAUGGUCUUUGUGCAACACACUAGACCCUCCCUACAGCUUCAGAUGAUGUGAAAGGGGGUUCAGAAGCAUGUGCAGGGACUGUUUGUGUUACAAGGGUACCUACAGACCCCUCUGUAGCCAACAGAAGUUCUCCUCAGAGGUGGUGACAGGAAUGUUUCAGUGCCACAGCAGCACCAACAUUGGUAACCAAGGGCAGAGCUGAAUGAAAGUAUGUGAUGACUCUUCUCCAAAGCAGAAGAGUGAAGUUUCUUCUCAGGUUAAUUUGGAAGUAGAUGUGGGAUGGCAAACAGGAACAGUUGGGUUUUGAGCUUCUUCCAUGAGUAUCCCAACACUCCUUACAGCACCAGCCCCACUGAGUUUAGCUGCAGCAUCGUGUGGUGUGUAUGAACUGCAAAGCUGGGGACUCCCUGCCAGCCAGGCUGAGGUUGCUGCUUUUAAGCCAGGUGUUGGUAGUACUGACACCAAAAAAAUCCCUUGACCACAUGCUGAGUCCUGUACACAACCUCCACCACUGCUGCCAGUGGUUCUUUCAUAAGCACAUGGUGAAAUUGCCCUACACAAAAGUGCACCUGCAGGGUUUCAGCACUGAGGAGCAACACAGUGACUGGAGAAGGUGGGAUGGACUGAACAGCAGUCUAGCAGGAGGCUGAUGGAGCCUCACAUGGAGGACAGAGUCAGUGUUGGGCUGCCCAGCAUGAGAGGAGUGACUUAGGGAGGGAGCACAGCGAUGGGCCACAAAGGUGGCAAAUGGACUGGAGCAUCUUUCACGGGAGGCAAAGCUUAGAGAGAGGGAGCUGCUCAGCCUGGAGGAGAGAUGGCUCAGGGAGAUCCCACCAGUGCAUGUAAGUACCUGCUGGGAGGGAGUGAAGACACAAGGGGCAAUGGGCACAAAUUAAACCACACACAAUCCCAUCUGACCCCAAGGAAGCCCUUUUGCCCCGUGAGAGUGGCCAAAUGCUGGGAUGGGCUGCCCAGAGAGGCUGGAGCUUCUUCCUCUCUGGAGAUGCUCAAGCUCUGACCAGAUGCAGUCCUGGGCAACCUGCUCCAGCUGCCCCUGCUCGAGCAGGGGGUGUUGGACUGGGUGAUCUCAGGAAGUCACCACCAAACUAAAGGCAUCUGUGAUGUGGCAGUUCUGUGACUUCUCACCCCACCCCCAAAUUUCUGCUGCACCAGACUACAUCAGGGAAAUCCUUUAAUUAUCUGUGGUGUCAAAUGGAUUCACAGUGCAGCUUACACCUCAGGAAACCUUGCUCUCUGAACACAUUCUCCUCCGUGCAUCAGUUUAAGAAAACUUGGCUUUGAUGGGAUUUGUCUUUGUGACAUCUACUUAAAAUGUGACUUUACUGGAUGCUGUUGUGCCUACACUGCUCUCACUCUGCUAAAUGCAACUUCAGCAUUCUUUGUUGACUGUGUCAAAGUCUACCUCAUUCUCAAAGCAUCCUUUGUGCUUCUGUAAACAAUGCCUGAGUGUUUGGGGGCAUUUUGCAUAGUGAAGAGGGCAGCUGGCAGGCAAAGAAGCCUUUAGCAUUCACGAGUAAGAGCCUCUCCUUUCAAGGAUGGAAUUUCACAUCAAAACCUUUUAACACUUUUGAA